GACGUCGCAGAUCUCUCGAUGGACGGCACUUGGAACUGAAUCCUGAGACGAAUCAUCUUGGCAGCGCGAGACUCAAGGGACGAGGCUGAUAUGAUUGUGUGUGGCGUAAAUAACAAGCCAGCGCCAAGUACACGAGUUGGGACGAAACGACACCGUGACGCAGUGGGCCUCUGGUCUCGUGGAGAGUGAUCUGCCGUAAGAGGAAGAAUGCACGUGAGUUUUGUCCUGGCCGCGGAAUUCCGGAUAACGCAGGUGUCUGGGAGAGUGGAUGAUCAGCCAGGACUGAGUAGAUGCUGAGUCUCGGGAGUGAACUGUGUGGUGCAGGACCGUAUCGGUUAUGCAGUCUCUUUUAACGAGAGACAUCGUGGAGGAGGCAGGCGAGUGCUCUCAACACACGUGACGGAGCGGCGCCAUGGUAACUGUCACCGUGGCCAGGAAGUCUCUUGUGCUGAACACUGCAAUGUUGUGUUAUCAAGACUGUGUAUUGGUGCAGCGCAUACAGUCGGAUCACUAAGCGUGUUGUAGUGAUGAAACUAUGGAAACUAUGGCGAAUGAUUAUUGAUCGUUGGAAAAAAGCAUAGGUGUGAUAAUAAUUCGGUGCUUGAGUUACACUAACACUCCAUCACUACCGCCACCACGGCCAUCACCACCGCCAUAACCACCGCCGCUACUAAGAGCUGGAUCAGCAGAGGAGCCGACACCGCACAGCUCGGCGCUCUUCCCCUGUGCCUGAGCAACACUGCGCUGACACGUCUGUCCGAUGCAGGGAGGAGACAGCAAGCGAGAGGCGAGGCUUGGCGGAGUUUUGACAUGUUAGGCGAUCCGUGUCGUGGCAUCAUGAGGGAAAGCAGCUUGUGUGCUGUCAUCGGGACGGGGCGCUCACAACUUGGAAUCUCACACAAACCUCUCCCAGACCCACCUCUAAUAUCUUCCACCACGGUAAGCCGAGGGUCAUUAUCCACUCAUCUACCUGUACAUUAGCGGCGCCAGGUGAGCAUAGACUGGAGAUUCCUUCAUUACCUUACCUGUUCUUACCUGUUGUGUGCAAUUAAUACUUUACCUGUGUUGAUUACCUUUGUUUUACCUGGCAGUGUCUCGUUCUUAUUCACCUUGCCUCUGUCAGCACCACGAGACCGCCUCCUCUUGUCCUUCAGGUGUGGGAGUGAAGGAAAGGAGUGAAGGAGGUAAAAAGCGAAGACGAAUAGCAGUAGGCAGCUGA